UCCGAUGCAUGGGGCCAGAUUGGGAGGUUGUUAGACUGUCCACAGCGAGAAGAGCAAAUGAAGGAGCAAAUGUACUGUUUGGCACUGUAGAUGUACUGUUUGGCACUGUAGACAGAGGGGGCGUGGAAAUCGAGGAGGAGAUGCUCCUGAGUUUGCUCGGCCCGUUGUGGACAGCCUUAGAGUUCUGAUCCCGUCAAAGCUGCUGCCGCGAGGUCCCUGCUACUCGGACUCCGCGGCAGGUGGGUCGGUAGCCCGCGCUCCCAGAACCAGAAGCCACCCAUCACCAUUGCCUGCCUGUGCCUGCGGAACAAAACAAAGGAGAUCGGCCGGGGGAGAAGAAGAGGUAGAUGGCCAUGGAGUUGCAGACCUGAUUGCCAGGAACUCAAGAACGGGCGCAGCUGAUAGGCAGCUGUGAUUGUUGAUUAGAAGAGGAGCAGGGGUUCAGGUUCAGUUCUUCGGCAGGUCGAGGGCCCCGGCGAUCAUGGCGUACCUGCGGAACAAGUCGAUGGAGUUCCUCAAGAGGUUCGAGGUGCCGGCCAAGAACCCGUCGGAGGAUGCGCAGCGCCGGUGGCGGGAGGCCGUCGGCACGCUCGUCAAGAACCGCCGCCGCCGCUUCCGCAUGGUCCCCGACCUCGACAAGCGGUCGCAGGUCGAGACGCAGCGUCGCAAGAUACAGGAGAAUCUUCGUGUUGCACUGUACGUGCAGAAGGCUGCACUGCAGUUCAUCGAUGCCGCCCGCAAGGCGGAGCACCCGUUGCCGGAGGUGGCGCGGCAAUGCGGCUUCUCCAUCAGCGCGGAGGAGCUGGCCACCGUGGUGCGCAACCACGACACCAAGAGCCUGAGGCACCACAGGGGCGUCGACGGCAUCGCCCGGAAGAUCAACGCCUCCCUCGCCGACGGCAUCAAGUCCGACGACACGGGCAUCCGGGCCGAGGUGUACGGCGCCAACCAGUACACGGAGAAGCCCCCGAGGACGUUCUGGAUGUUCCUGUGGGACGCCAGCCAGGACAUGACGCUCCUGCUCCUCGCCAUGUGCGCGCUCAUCUCCGUCGUCAUCGGCCUGGCCACCGAGGGAUGGCCCAACGGCAUGUACGACGGCCUCGGCAUCGUGCUCACCAUCUUCCUCGUGGUCAUGAUCACCGCUGCCAGCGACUACAAGCAGUCGCUGCAGUUCCGGGACCUCGACAAGGAGAAGAAGAAGAUCGACAUGCACGUCACCCGCGACGGCUACCGGCAGAAGGUGUCCAUCUACGACAUCGUCGUCGGCGACAUCGUCCACCUGUCCAUCGGCGACCAGGUGCCGGCCGACGGCCUCUACAUCGACGGCUACUCGUUCGUGGUCGACGAGUCGAGCCUCUCAGGCGAGAGCGAGCCCGUGCACCUGUCGAGCGCCAAGCCGUUCCUGCUCGGCGGGACAAAGGUGCAGGACGGCUCGGCGCGGAUGCUGGUGACGGCCGUCGGGAUGCGGACCGAGUGGGGGAACCUGAUGGAGACGCUGAGCCAGGGCGGCGAGGACGAGACGCCGCUGCAGGUCAAGCUCAACGGCGUGGCCACCAUCAUCGGCAAGAUCGGGCUGGCGUUCGCGGUGCUCACCUUCACGGUGCUCAUGGCGCGCUUCCUGGCGGGCAAGGCUCGCGCGCCCGGCGGGCUGCUGCGGUGGAGCGGCGAGGACGCGCUCUCGGUGCUCAACUUCUUCGCCGUCGCCGUCACCAUCAUCGUCGUCGCCGUGCCCGAGGGGCUGCCGCUCGCCGUCACGCUCAGCCUGGCCUUCGCCAUGAAGAAGCUCAUGCAGGAGCGCGCGCUCGUGCGGCACCUCUCGGCGUGCGAGACCAUGGGGUCGGCGAGCUGCAUCUGCACCGACAAGACCGGCACGCUCACCACCAACCACAUGGUCGUCGAGAAAGUCUGGGCCUCCGGGGCGGCGCAGACCGUGAGCACCGCCAAGGGCUUCGACGGGCUCAAGUCGUCCGUGUCGGAAAACUUCACCAAGGUGCUGCUCGAGGGCGUCUUCCAUUGCUCCGGCUCGGAGGUGGUCACCAACAAGGACGGCAAGACCACCAUCAUGGGCACGCCCACCGAGACGGCCAUCCUCGAGUUCGGCCUCGAGGUGGAGAAGUACACCAAAGUGGAGCGCUGCAGCGCCAUGAAGCUCAAGGUGGAGCCCUUCAACUCGGUGAAGAAGACGAUGGCCGUGGUCGUCGCGUCCCCGCACGCCGCCGGCCACCCCCGCGUGAUCCUCAAGGGCGCGUCCGAGGUCGUCCUGAGGCGGUGCGGCUCCAUCAUCGACGGCACCGGGAGCGUCGAGAAGCUCACGGAUGCCAAGGCCAAGCGCGUGGCCAGCGCCAUCGACGCGUUCGCGUGCGAGGCGCUGCGCACGCUCUGCCUGGCGUACCAGGACGUGACCAGCGGCAGCGACAUCCCCAACGAUGGGUACACGCUCAUCGCGGUGUUCGGCAUCAAGGACCCCCUCCGUCCAGGGGUGAGGGAGGCCGUCCAGACGUGCCGCGCUGCAGGUAUCAAUGUCCGCAUGGUCACCGGUGACAACAUCAGCACGGCCAAGGCGAUUGCGAGGGAGUGCGGCAUCCUAACCGAUGAUGGGAUUGCCAUCGAGGGGCCCGACUUCCGGGCCAAGACCCCCAACGAGAUGAAGGAGAUCAUACCCAGAAUCCAGGCACGUAGCUGCUGCAUUCUCUUAUUAGAAGAAUUUUUUGCAUCAGGAAAACUGACACGACGACUGGUUUCUUGAGCCUGCAGGUGAUGGCUCGGUCGCUGCCGUUGGACAAGCACACGCUGGUGACCAACCUGAGGGGCAUGUUCGGAGAGGUGGUGGCGGUGACCGGGGACGGCACAAAUGACGCGCCUGCGCUGCACGAGGCUGACAUCGGCCUCGCCAUGGGCAUUGCUGGAACAGAGGUUGCCAAGGAGAAUGCCGACGUGAUCAUCAUGGAUGACAACUUCUCGACCAUCAUCAACGUCGCCAAAUGGGGUCGUUCCGUCUACAUCAACAUCCAGAAGUUCGUGCAGUUCCAGCUCACGGUGAACGUUGUUGCCCUGAUGGUGAACUUCGUCUCCGCAUCCUUCACAGGAAGCGCCCCGCUGACCAUUGUGCAACUGCUGUGGGUGAACCUGAUCAUGGACACCCUCGGCGCCCUGGCACUGGCCACGGAGCCCCCCAAUGAUACGAUGAUGCAGAGGCCACCGGUCGGGCGAGGUGACAAUUUCAUCACCAAGGUGAUGUGGAGGAACAUCAUAGGCCAGAGCAUCUACCAGCUGAUCGUGCUCGGCAUCCUCAUCUUCAAGGGCAAGAGCCUCCUGCAGUUGAACGGCGAUCGAUCUGACACCCAGCUCAACACGUUCAUAUUCAAUACCUUUGUGUUCUGCCAGGUUUUCAACGAGGUAAACAGCAGGGAAAUGGAGAAGAUCAAUGUGUUCAGCGGCAUCUUCAGCAGCUGGAUCUUCUCGGCGGUCGCCGGUGCCACCGCGGCGUUUCAGGUGAUCAUCGUGGAGCUCCUAGGGACGUUCGCUAGCACGGAGCACCUGAGCGGGAGGCUCUGGCUGACAAGCAUUCUGAUCGGGUCGGUCAGCCUGGUGAUUGGUGCCAUCCUGAAGCUCAUCCCUGUCGAUUCCAGCAGCGACGCGUCUGAUCGCCGUGAUGGGUACCAGCCCAUCCCCACCGGCCCUAACGCCGUGUGAUGUCGAAGACGUUUCAUCAUUCUUUUUCCUUUUAGGAACAAGAGAAUUCAGCAGUUUUGAUUAUUUUAGGUAGGAGUGACGGUUCGUUGUUGCUGUUAGCUAUUUGAUCUUCAGUCUCUCGACCUUGUUGUCUUUCAGGCAAACAAUGUGUCUGAAUGUGGGUUAUAGAACCAAUGUUUGUAGCGAAUAACGGUAGAAUCUAAGUGAAUUUUUACAGGUCUGCAUUCUUCAUAUUGCAUUGCUGCUUGUCUUUGUAGCAAGUUUUGCCAAUCAUAGAAAAAAAAAUUCAGAUCAUAUUAUUGCAA